rnacentral:rRNA from 1 species
CCUACGGGAGGCAGCAGUGGGGAAUAUUGGACAAUGGGGGGAACCCUGAUCCAGCCAUGCCGCGUGUGUGAAGAAGGCCCUCGGGUUGUAAAGCACUUUCAGUGAGGAAGAACGCCUGGUGGUUAAUACCCAUCAGGAAAGACAUCACUCACAGAAGAAGCACCGGCUAACUCCGUGCCAGCAGCCGCGGUAAUACGGAGGGUGCGAGCGUUAAUCGGAAUUACUGGGCGUAAAGCGCGCGUAGGUGGCUUGAUAAGCCGGUUGUGAAAGCCCCGGGCUCAACCUGGGAACGGCAUCCGGAACUGUCAAGCUAGAGUGCAGGAGAGGAAGGUAGAAUUCACGGUGUAGCGGUGAAAUGCGUAGAGAUCGGGAGGAAUACCAGUGGCGAAGGCGGCCUUCUGGACUGACACUGACACUGAGGUGCGAAAGCGUGGGUAGCAAACAGGAUUAGAUACCCUGGUAGUC